rnacentral:rRNA from 1 species
ACCGAUACUGACGCUGAGACGCGAAAGCGCGGGUAGCAAACAGGAUUAGAUACCCUGGUAGUCACGCCGUAAACGAUGAGUACUAGGUGUUGCGGGUAUUGACCCCUGCAGUGCCGUAGCUAACGCAUUAAGUACUCCGCCUGGGAAGUACGGUCGCAAGACUAAAACUCAAAGGAAUUGACGGGGGCCCGCACAAGCGGUGGAGCAUGUGGUUUAAUUCGAAGCAACGCGAAGAACCUUACCUAGACUUGACAUCUCCUGAAUUACCCUUAACCGGGGAAGCCCUUCGGGGCAGGAAGACAGGUGGUGCAUGGUUGUCGUCAGCUCGUGUCGUGAGAUGUUGGGUUAAGUCCCGCAACGAGCGCAACCCUUAUCAUUAGUUGCUACCAUUAAGUUGAGCACUCUAGUGAGACUGCCACGGUUAACGUGGAGGAAGGUGGGGAUGACGUCAAAUCAUCAUGCCCCUUAUGUCUAGGGCUACACACGUGCUACAAUGGUGAAUACAAAGAGAUGCAAUACCGCGAGGUGGAGCCAAACUCAAAAAUUCAUCCCAGUUCGGAUUGUAGGCUGAAACUCGCCUACAUGAAGCCGGAGUUGCUAGUAAUCGCGAAUCAGCAUGUCGCGGUGAAUACGUUCCCGGGCCUUGUACACACCGCCCGUCACACCAUGAGAGCUGGUAACACCCGAAGUCCGUGAGGUAACCCGCAAGGGAGCCAGCGGCCGAAGGUGGGAUCAGUGAUUGGGGUGAAGUCGUAACAAGGUAGCCGUAGGAGAACCUGCGGCUGGAUCACCUCCUU